rnacentral:rRNA from 1 species
GGGGAAUAUUGCACAAUGGGCGAAAGCCUGAUGCAGCGACGCCGCGUGAGGGAUGACGGCCUUCGGGUUGUAAACCUCUUUCAUCAGGGAAGAAGCGAAAGUGACGGUACCUGCAGAAGAAGCGCCGGCUAACUACGUGCCAGCAGCCGCGGUAAUACGUAGGGCGCAAGCGUUGUCCGGAAUUAUUGGGCGUAAAAAGCUCGUAGGCGGUUAGUCGCGUCUGCUGUGAAAACUCGAGGCUCAACCUCGGGCUUGCAGUGGGUACGGGCUGACUAGAGUGCGGUAGGGGUGACUGGAAUUCCUGGUGUAGCGGUGGAAUGCGCAGAUAUCAGGAGGAACACCGAUGGCGAAGGCAGGCAUCUAGCCAUGUACUGACGCUGAGACGCGAAGGUGCGGGGAGCAAACA